rnacentral:lncRNA from 1 species
UUUCAGCAUUUUUAGGACUUAGCCAAAUUUCAGUCUUUUUCGUUUCUUCUUCGUUUUCACUCGUUUUCGCUCGUUUGGCCUCCGAUUCUUUUCAAAUCGCACCGCGACUCUCAAAACAUGUUUUCGAGCGUGUUUACAUUAUUUUUUCAUCCACGCUAAUGCCGGAUUUAGUCCACAGUCCAAUGUAGCCUUUCGGGUACCAUUUUCGCACCUACGCGCUCUAAAAACGCCCGAAUGCUUCCGAACUUCACCGGAACUUCACCGGAACCCUUCAAAUGGCUUUCCAACCAAAUGUACACCAUAACAUCAUAAUUUUA